GGGAGCCAGCACUUGGAGACUUGCUAGAUGAUGUGAUAGAGUCCUGAACGACAGACAGGCUUGACACUGACAUCUCUGAAUGGAGAGAGACCUGGCACUCAGCACAUCCACAAUGUGGGACUGAAGAUGCCUAUAGGACUGGAGAUGCUUCUGCCAGACGCCAGCCUCGGCCGUUUGAUGGGGAGACUAUAAUUGAAACAUGUAUGGAGCCAGCACAUGGAGACUUGCAAGACGACGUGAUGAAGUCCAGAUUGACAGACGGGCUUGAUACUGAUGUCUUUA